rnacentral:rRNA from 1 species
GAUGAACGCUAGCGGGAGGCCUAACACAUGCAAGCCGAGCGGUAUAGUUUCUUCGGAAACUAGAGAGCGGCGUACGGGUGCGUAACACGUGUGCAACCUACCUUUAUCAGGGGAAUAGCCUUUCGAAAGGAAGAUUAAUACUCCAUAAUAUAUAGACAGGCAUCUGUUUAUAUUGAAAACUCCGGUGGAUAGAGAUGGGCACGCGCAAGAUUAGAUAGUUGGUGAGGUAACGGCUCACCAAGUCAUUGAUCUUUAGGGGUCCUGAGAGGGAGAUCCCCCACACUGGUACUGAGACACGGACCAGACUCCUACGGGAGGCAGCAGUGAGGAAUAUUGGACAAUGGGUGAGAGCCUGAUCCAGCCAUCCCGCGUGAAGGAUGACGGUCCUACGGAUUGUAAACUUCUUUUGUAUAGGGAUAAACCCAGAUACGUGUAUCUGGCUGAAGGUACURUACGAAUAAGCACCGGCUAACUCCGUGCCAGCAGCCGCGGUAAUACGGAGGGUGCAAGCGUUAUCCGGAUUUAUUGGGUUUAAAGGGUCCGCAGGCGGACCGAUAAGUCAGUGGUGAAAUCUCAUAGCUUAACUAUGAAACUGCCGUUGAUACUGUCGGUCUUGAGUAAAUUAGAGGUAGCUGGAAUAAGUAGUGUAGCGGUGAAAUGCAUAGAUAUUACUUAGAACACCAAUUGCGAAGGCAGGUUACCAUGAUUUAACUGACGCUGAGGGACGAAAGCGUGGGGAGCGAACAGGAUUAGAUACCCUGGUAGUCCACGCCGUAAACGAUGCUAACUCGUUUUUGGGGCUUCGGCUUCAGAGACCAAGCGAAAGUGAUAAGUUAGCCACCUGGGGAGUACGUUCGCAAGAAUGAAACUCAAAGGAAUUGACGGGGGCCCGCACAAGCGGUGGAUUAUGUGGUUUAAUUCGAUGAUACGCGAGGAACCUUACCAAGACUUAAAUGGGAAAUGACAGGUUUAGAAAUAGAUCCUUCUUCGGACAUUUUUCAAGGUGCUGCAUGGUUGUCGUCAGCUCGUGCCGUGAGGUGUUAGGUUAAGUCCUGCAACGAGCGCAACCCCUGUCACUAGUUGCUAACAUUUAGUUGAGGACUCUAGUGAGACUGCCUACGCAAGUAGAGAGGAAGGUGGGGAUGACGUCAAAUCAUCACGGCCCUUACGUCUUGGGCCACACACGUAAUACAAUGGCCGGUACAGAGGGCAGCUACACAGCGAUGUGAUGCAAAUCUCGAAAGCCGGUCUCAGUUCGGAUUGGAGUCUGCAACUCGACUCUAUGAAGCUGGAAUCGCUAGUAAUCGCGCAUCAGCCAUGGCGCGGUGAAUACGUUCCCGGGCCUUGUACACACCGCCCGUCAAGCCAUGGAAGUCUGGGGUACCUGAAGUCGGUGACCGUAAAAGGAGCUGCCUAGGGUAAAACAGGUAACUAGGGCU